CCUACGGGAGGCAGCAGUGGGGGAUAUUGCACAAUGGGGGGAACCCUGAUGCAGCGACGCCGCGUGGGUGAAGAAGCGCCUCGGCGCGUAAAGCCCUGUCAGCAGGGAAGAAAAUGACGGUACCUGAAGAAGAAGCCCCGGCUAACUACGUGCCAGCAGCCGCGGUAAUACGGAGGGGGCAAGCGUUAUCUGGAUUUACUGGGUGUAAGGGGGGCGCAGACGGCGAUGCAAGCCAGGAGUGAAAGCCCGGGGCCCAACCCCGGGAAUGCGCUGGGGACUGCGUGGCUGGAGUGCAGGAGGGGCAGGCGGAAUUCCGGGGGUAGCGGUGAAAUGCGUAGAUAUCAGGAGGAACACCGGUGGCGAAGGCGGCCUGCUGGACUGCAACUGACGUUGAGGCCCGAAAGCGUGGGGAGCAAACAGGAUUAGAUACCCCUGUAGUC
rnacentral:rRNA from 1 species